rnacentral:lncRNA from 1 species
AUGUUCCAAUGAAAGCUGACGGCUCUUGACUACCACAACCCCGCCGGUUUCAACUGCAAAGAUGAAACAGAAUUUAGAAACUUCACUGUUUGGCUUGAAGACCAGAAAAUCAGAUACUACAAGACUGAAGACAGAGGUAAUUUAAGAAACAUCCACAGCAGUGACUGGCCCGAGUUCUUUCAAAAGUAUCUCAGAGAUGUUAACUGUCGUUUAAAGAUUCAAGAUCGACAAGAAGCUAUUGACUGGCUUCUUGGUUUAGCUGUUAGAUUUGAAUAUGGAGAUAAUGCUGAAAAAUACAAGGACUUAGUACCUGAUAAUGCAAAAACUGCUGACAAUGCAACUAAAAAUGCAGAACCAUUGAUAAAUUUGGACGUAAAUAAUCCUGAUUUUAAGCCUGGUGUAAUGGCUUUGGCUAACCUGCUUCAGGUUCAAUGUCAUGAUGAUUGCCUGGUAAUGCUUAAGGCAAUUCAAAUUUUGGUUCAGGAGCACCUGACACAGGAUGCAGUUGCUAAAGCAAAUCAAACAAAAGAGGGCUUGCCUGUUGCUUUAGACAAACAUAUUCUUGGUUUUGACACAGGAGAUGCAGUUCUUAAUGAAGCUACUCAAAUUCUGUGACUGCUGUAUACAGAAGAGCUCAGACAGCUACAGACAAAAAUUAAUGAAGCCAUAGCAGCUGUUCAGGCAAUUAUUGCUGAUGCAAGGACAGACCACAGGCUGGGAAAAGUUGGAAGAUGA